rnacentral:lncRNA from 1 species
UUUGUUUCCAGUAAAUCUUUACUCAUUGCUCUCCUGCCUUCCCCUGUUGCUUUUUUUUUUUUCCUGAAGUGUUUUUCUGAAGUUCACAUGCAGAUAGGUUCCCCAACCCCAUUUGUCACGCAUAUGGGAUUAUAGGAUAUCAACCUCUGCCAGCAGAUUUCAGCUGGGCCUUUGAGGGCUAUAACUUCUGCAACCUCUCUGUUGACCAUCUGGCAAGGAACCAAUCACCUUUCUUGGCAUAGAGGCCCUGAGCUUCACCCCAGAGAGAGGCAUGGAGUAUACAGCUCUGAAAGAGAAAAUGGAGACAAGGACACAGAAAAUGAAGGUCCUCUGAAGGCCCAGCCUCAGUUUCUCUGCCGCAGCUGGGGCUGCUCUCUUGUCUGCCAGCCACUGGCCUAGUCACAGAAAACCGGACCUGCCCCCCGGGGAGACAGCAGACCGUCGCUCCCAAAUCCACAAGGAGGACCGUACUGUGCCUGAGUCACAGGAAAGUACAAAUACUAAACCAUAUCAACGUCAUUCACUGAAAAGGGUAGAAAAAAUAUAAAAUCGAGACAACUUCAGGAAUUGAGCGUGCAGGAUCCCUGUCCUGCACAGCUUGGGCUGCCCUCGGCCUCUCUCUCUGCGUCUCUUCAGGGACGGCUGCCACUCCUUCUCUGGGUAGAAUCAACACACAUGGCCACAGAACUUUCCAGACUCACUGUCCUCUCAUCCUUCCUCCUGGGCUCCGUUUUUAAAUUCUCUGAGAUUUUCAUUUUCUCUGCUCGGAGUCCUCUCUUUUCUCCGAUACUAGAGAACUGGAGCCCUGGAAGCCAGUAGCUCAUGGAUGAAGAGUCCGAAUGAUCACAUUCGUCCCGUCUUAGAGACGCAGUGGGAGCCGUGGGCAGGGUGUGCGGCCCGGCGUGACUUCCACGGGCACCGCCUCCCACCGACUGUGGGCCGCUGUGUGUGCCGAGGUGCUCCCCUGCCACCUCGGGGGCCUGCUUCGACAGUUAAUGAGUUAGCUCUCAUUACGUGGGGUUAGCAAAUGUCACUAUUCUCUGACAGCCCAUCUCGGGGCCCCGGCUGUCAGCGUAGAUCUGCUCAGUAAACAUUUGCUGUUUGAAUAAAUGUGUCCUUCAUGCCAUCCUUUCCUUGUGCCCAACUUCUGAGGAAGAUGCUUCAGAAAUAGUGCUUACAGCAGGGUCCUUGCCAGACGCUUCAGCCUGGGUCCAACCAGGAGAUGGAAACCCCACAGUGAUUGCAGCAAGGGAAGUUAGAUAUGAGGAAUUACGAAGCAGUGAUAGAAGAGUGGAGAUGGAGUAAAGGUGGAACGAGAACACUCGAGGGUGCCCCAGGGCAGGGGGAGGCACCCAAAGCAGGGCUGGCUUGGAAGGGGGCUCACCCUUCGUUGAACAGGGUGUGGUGGGGGAUCAGUGGGUGCUACAGGGGGCCACUGGUAGCCUCAGUCAGAGCUGGCCCGUGUCCCCAUGUUGUCAUCCAGGACCCCGCAGAGGGGGGGCCUGUGGCAAGGUGAUCCCUGAGCUUCACACCGGGGAAUGAGGAAGAGAAGCUGACCUCUCGCCAUGUCCCUCACUCACCCCCCACUGGCAAUGCUUAACCUCGUGGUCACCCUGGAGGAGAAAUGCUGGCAUCCCGCCCAUGAUCCCCAUUAUCACUGAGCAGGUAUUGAGGGGUGAAUCUAGAGCCGCGAGGCAAUAAAUCAACAACUGGCACAUAGGGUCAAGACUGCGGUAUUUAUCCCCAAGAUAAAAUCAUAUGAAGUAAUUUAAAAUCAUGUUUUAGAAGAUUGUGUAAUUCCUCGAAGAAAUCUCCAUGAUACACAAAGUGAAAAAAGCAAAUUAUGAAACCAGUAGCGCGAUGUAACCCUGAUUUUGUAAAACAGCAAAAGACAAGAAGCAAAGCUCUUUGUUUAACAGGAAAAGAUUCCUGGACCUCUUCUUCCUCCCACCGCCCAUCAAUCCCCCUUUCACCUUCCUUGUUUUUUGGUUUAGAAUGAGAAAGUGAGAAACAGGUUGGCCAGGGAGAGUCACCUAACAUACAAGGGAUGGAGCAGGUUUGUUUUUUUUUUUUUUUUAGAUUUAAUUUAUUUAUUCAUGAGAGACAGAGGGUGGGGGCAGAGACACAGGCAGAGGGAGAAGCAGGCUCCAUGCAGGGAGCCUGACCCGGGACUCGAUCCCGGGUCCCCAGGAUCAGGCCCUGGGCCCAAGGCAGCGCUAAACCGCUGAGCCACCAGGGUGUCCCGGGACGGAGCGUUUUCAUUCCUUCCCUGCCAACGGCUUCAUCCCUCACCCAGGAAGAGCUGGGAAGAAGGAAAUUACUACCGACUCGUGUCGAAUCACAACCAACAAAUACGUGCCACUUUCCCCGUCCCUUCUGCUUUCAGAAGUCACCCGAUGGUGCUGGACUGGCCUCUCCUCCGACCCCAAAAGGGCCAGAAGGGAUUCGUACACUGGUCGCAGGAAGGCCGGAGAAGAAGCGAUUCUCCUGAUUCCGCAGGUCAGCGGGCAUCGCUGUUCUUGUGACAAAGGGCGGCCGGUGGGUGAUGGCGCUGGUUAGACCCCCUUUCACGGGCUCCCCUGCCGCUGCCUCUCAGGGUCUCUGUGCUCUGGGAAUCUCUCUGGGGGCGGCAGCACGUCCCGGCUUUUAUUUCAAUUCAUGUGUUUGUUUUGUAGGACACAGUUGGGAAAAUGCUGCAGUAGAAAAAGUAUGAAAAAUGUCUACAUUUUAAAAACUUUAAAUGUCAAAUUGAACACCAAUAAAAAUAAAUUUAUUAUUUAAAAAAUAAAUAA